GAUGAACGCUAGCUACAGGCUUAACACAUGCAAGUCGAGGGGUAGCAGGGUAGCAAUACCGCUGGCGACCGGCGCACGGGUGAGUAACACGUAUCCAACCUUCCCAUAACUCGGGGAUAGCCUUUCGAAAGAAAGAUUAAUACCCGAUAGUACUUUUUCAAGGCAUCUUGAAAAGUUAAAGAUUUAUUGGUUAUGGAUGGGGAUGCGUUCCAUUAGAUAGUUGGUGAGGUAACGGCUCACCAAGUCUUCGAUGGAUAGGGGUUCUGAGAGGAAGGUCCCCCACAUUGGUACUGAGACACGGACCAAACUCCUACGGGAGGCAGCAGUGAGGAAUAUUGGUCAAUGGGCGAGAGCCUGAACCAGCCAAGUAGCGUGAAAGGAUGAAGGUCCUAUGGAUUGUAAACUUCUUUUAUAGUAGAAUAAAGUGACCCACGUGUGGGUUUUUGUAUGUAUACUAUGAAUAAGGAUCGGCUAACUCCGUG
rnacentral:rRNA from 1 species